rnacentral:tRNA from 1 species
UGGGGUGCAGCUCAGUGGCAGAGCACUUGCCUAACAUGCAAAAGGGCUCGGGUUUGAUCCCUAGCUCUUCAG